GCGGACAGAUGGGAGCUUGCUCCCUGAUGUUAGCGGCGGACGGGUGNAGUAACACGUGGGUAACCUGCCUGUAAGACUGGGAUAACUCCGGGAAACCGGGGCUAAUACCGGAUGCUUGUUUGAACCGCAUGGUUCAAACAUAAAAGGUGGCUUCGGCUACCACUUACAGAUGGACCCGCGGCGCAUUAGCUAGUUGGUGAGGUAAUGGCUCACCAAGGCGACGAUGCGUAGCCGACCUGAGAGGGUGAUCGGCCACACUGGGACUGAGACACGGCCCAGACUCCUACGGGAGGCAGCAGUAGGGAAUCUUCCGCAAUGGACGAAAGUCUGACGGAGCAACGCCGCGUGAGUGAUGAAGGUUUUCGGAUCGUAAAGCUCUGUUGUUAGGGAAGAACAAGUACCGUUCGAAUAGGGCGGUACCUUGACGGUACCUAACCAGAAAGCCACGGCUAACUACGUGCCAGCAGCCGCGGUAAUACGUAGGUGGCAAGCGUUGUCCGGAAUUAUUGGGCGUAAAGGGCUCGCAGGCGGUUUCUUAAGUCUGAUGUGAAAGCCCCCGGCUCAACCGGGGAGGGUCAUUGGAAACUGGGGAACUUGAGUGCAGAAGANGGNGANGNGGAAUUCCACGUGUAGCGGUGAAAUGCGUAGAGAUGUGGAGGAACACCAGUGGCGAAGGCGACUCUCUGGUCUGUAACUGACGCUGAGGAGCGAAAGCGUGGGGAGCGAACAGGAUUAGAUACCCUGGUAGUCCACGCCGUAAACGAUGAGUGCUAAGUGUUAGGGGGUUUCCGCCCCUUAGUGCUGCAGCUAACGCAUUAAGCACUCCGCCUGGGGAGUACGGUCGCAAGACUGAAACUCAAAGGAAUUGACGGGGGCCCGCACAAGCGGUGGAGCAUGUGGUUUUAUUCGAAGCAACGCGAAGAACCUUACCAGGUCUUGACAUCCUCUGACAAUCCUAGAGAUAGGACGUCCCCUUCGGGGGCAGAGUGACAGGUGGUGCAUGGUUGUCGUCAGCUCGUGUCGUGAGAUGUUGGGUUAAGUCCCGCAACGAGCGCAACCCUUGAUCUUAGUUGCCAGCAUUCAGUUGGGCACUCUAAGGUGACUGCCGGUGACAAACCGGAGGAAGGUGGGGAUGACGUCAAAUCAUCAUGCCCCUUAUGACCUGGGCUACACACGUGCUACAAUGGACAGAACAAAGGGCAGCGAAACCGCGAGGUUAAGCCAAUCCCACAAAUCUGUUCUCAGUUCGGAUCGCAGUCUGCAACUCGACUGCGUGAAGCUGGAAUCGCUAGUAAUCGCGGAUCAGCAUGCCGCGGUGAAUACGUUCCCGGGCUGC
rnacentral:rRNA from 2 species